rnacentral:rRNA from 1 species
UACGAAGGGGGCUAGCGUUGUUCGGAAUUACUGGGCGUAAAGCGCACGUAGGCGGGUUUGUAAGUAGAGGGUGAAAUCCCAGGGCUCAACCCUGGAACUGCCUUCUAGACUGCAAGCCUGGAGGUCAGGAGAGGCGAGUGGAAUACCGAGUGUAGAGGUGAAAUUCGUAGAUACUCGGAAGAACACCAGUGGCGAAGGCGACUCACUGGCCCGGUACUGACGCUGAGGCGCGAAAGCGUGGGGAGCAAACAGG